rnacentral:lncRNA from 1 species
UGAACUAAAUACAUAAGAAAAAUUAAAUGGAUCUUCACUAGAAAACAUAUCACUCCUAGAAAACAUGCAGUAGAGCUAGAUUACUCAGUGACAACAUUAGACGACAUGGUCUUGCCCCCAUAUGCCUGAGAAUUGUUUGAAAAAAGGCCCGUCAUUUGCAGUUUACGAAGAACUAAAUGCAACUGAUGAAAUUCCCAUCAUAGAAGAAAUAAUAAAUAAAGCCACCACUAACGAACUAGAUAAGCAGAAAAUGAGAUGGGGAUAUGCCUGUGAAAAGCUACAACAACAGCAAAAGACAGUGCAGAAGACAAGCAACAACUUCAGAAGUCUAAUAAACAGGACCAAAGCCUGGAUGAAAGAGAUUAACAUAAUAAUCACCAGGGGUAGAUAAAUCCAAGAGAAUAGUGUUGCUUAAGAAAUCUCAAUAUGAUACCAGCCUCCAGGAAUACCUUAAGGAAACGCAACCGAUAACCCUCCACCAACCGUGUGAAAGUUAUCACUAAUAAAUUAACGAAGGACCCCUCUUCCCCAAUAGUAUGGAGACACAGAGAAGUGAAAGCAGCAGUAGCCCCACGCCUGUUUGCUUAUGUAAAGACACAUAACCAACCGCCCAAGUUAAGGCCCAUCGUAGAAAAAAGAAGAGCAUCGACCUAUAACUUCAAGAAAGAAUUAACCAAUGGUGCAAUGCUAUACUUGGUAAGAUUGAGUUACUCUUUAAAGUAUUUUAGUGUG